AAUUGUUUAUACAACCAGGAGGUUGGCUUAGAAGCAGCAACCCUUUAAAGAAAGCGUAAUAGCUCACUGGUCUAAUGAUACCGCGCCGAAAAUUUAACGGGGCUAAGCAUAGUACCGAAGCUACGGAUUCGAUAAGCUGAUUUAAGGUUAUGAGCAGGAAGGAUAGUUACAUUUCGCGAGCGUUUUUUGCGAGCAACUCCCCUCCCGGCUAAGCACCUUAGUCAGAAAAAGUUGAUAGUCUUAAAUCAGCUUAUCGAAUGGUAGGAGAACAUUGUGGCCGCCUGAGAAGGUACACCGAAAGGAGUGCUGGAGGUUCCACAAGAGCUUAUGUUGACACGAGUAGCGAAAAUGAGGGUGAGAAACCCUCACGCCGAAAGCCUAAGGU
rnacentral:rRNA from 1 species